AUUGAACGCUGGCGGCAUGCUUUACACAUGCAAGUCGAACGGUAACAGGCCUUCGGGUGCUGACGAGUGGCGAACGGGUGAGUAAUGCAUCGGAACGUGCCCAGAGGUGGGGGAUAACGCAGCGAAAGCUGUGCUAAUACCGCAUGUGAUCUGAGGAUGAAAGCGGGGGACCAGGCAGCAAUGUUUGGCCUCGCGCCUUUGGAGCGGCCGAUGUCAGAUUAGGUAGUUGGUGGGGUAAAGGCCUACCAAGCCGACGAUCUGUAGCUGGUCUGAGAGGACGACCGGCCACACUGGAACUGAGACACGGCCCAGACUCCUACGGGAGGCAGCAGUGGGGAAUUUUGGACAAUGGGCGCAAGCCUGAUCCAGCAAUGCCGCGUGCGGGAAGAAGGUCUUCGGGUUGUAAACCGCUUUUAUACGGAACGAAAAGGCUCUGGCUAAUACCUGGGGCUGAUGACGGUACCGUAAGAAUAAGCACCGGCUAACUACGUG
rnacentral:rRNA from 1 species